rnacentral:piRNA from 1 species
CUCGUUCCCACGCCAGUGCAGGUUGGACAGC